AUAUUAAACCCAAUUUCAUUUGGUUUCCCUAUGAUCCAUUUUGUAUAUAAAAAACCAUUUUGUAUAUAGACUUUGUACAUUGGGAGAGUCACAAAUCCAUGUCUCCAUAUCAUCCCCUGUUGCAUUUUUUUGUUUAAAAGCUUUAAGAGUUUACUUGACAGAGGAAAAGGAAGAACGAUGAGCGGUGACAUAGUCAUGGAAUCAAAAGCAUUUCCUAUGAAUGGUGGAGAUGGCACCUACAGUUACACAAAAAAUUCUCAGUAUCAGAGAACAGCUUCAGAUUCUGUAAAGGAAAUGAUCAAAGAUGCAAUUGUUGACAAGUUUGACAUAACAAGCCUCAGUUUCAGUUCAAACACUAUCCGAAUUGCAGAUUUGGGUUGUUCUGUUGGGU